rnacentral:sRNA from 1 species
AAAAUUAGUCUUUGAAAAAAGAUGAUACGAAACUCUGAGGUCUAUUUGAUCAAGACUCACGAUUGAACAAGAGCUUCACAUUGUCUGAUGACACAGAAGUCCUUUAGUGUGACUCAGAUCAAUGAACAAGACAAUGCAAGUGGGCAGGGGUCAAACGGUGACGCUAGCAGUGGUUCAUCUUUGAGCAACAGUGCAAUUUGUUUCGGGUUUUCCCGAUCUAGCCACCCUAUCGUAUCAAGAUAAUCAACCGACAGCGAU